rnacentral:rRNA from 1 species
UGAACGCUGGCGGCAUGCCUUACACAUGCAAGUCGAACGGCAGCACGGGUGCUUGCACCUGGUGGCGAGUGGCGAACGGGUGAGUAAUACAUCGGAACAUGUCCUGUAGUGGGGGAUAGCCCGGCGAAAGCCGGAUUAAUACCGCAUACGAUCUACGGAUGAAAGCGGGGGACCUUCGGGCCUCGCGCUAUAGGGUUGGCCGAUGGCUGAUUAGCUAGUUGGUGGGGUAAAGGCCUACCAAGGCGACGAUCAGUAGCUGGUCUGAGAGGACGACCAGCCACACUGGGACUGAGACACGGCCCAGGCUCCUACGGGAGGCAGCAGUGGGGAAUUUUGGACAAUGGGCGAAAGCCUGAUCCAGCAAUGCCGCGUGUGUGAAGAAGGCCUUCGGGUUGUAAAGCACUUUUGUCCGGAAAGAAAUCCUUGGCUCUAAUACAGUCGGGGGAUGACGGUACCGGAAGAAUAAGCACCGGCUAACUACGUGCCAGCAGCCGCGGUAAUACGUAGGGUGCGAGCGUUAAUCGGAAUUACUGGGCGUAAAGCGUGCGCAGGCGGUUUGCUAAGACCGAUGUGAAAUCCCCGGGCUCAACCUGGGAACUGCAUUGGUGACUGGCAGGCUAGAGUAUGGCAGAGGGGGGGUAGAAUUCCACGUGUAGCAGUGAAAUGCGUAGAGAUGUGGAGGAAUACCGAUGGCGAAGGCAGCCCCCUGGGCCAAUACUGACGCUCAUGCACGAAAGCGUGGGGGAGCAAACAGGAUUAGAUACCCUGGUAGUCCACGCCCUAAACGAUGUCAACUAGUUGUUGGGGAUUCAUUUCCUUAGUAACGUAGCUAACGCGUGAAGUUGACCGCCUGGGGAGUACGGUCGCAAGAUUAAAACUCAAAGGAAUUGACGGGGACCCGCACAAGCGGUGGAUGAUGUGGAUUAAUUCGAUGCAACGCGAAAAACCUUACCUACCCUUGACAUGGUCGGAAUCCUGCUGAGAGGCGGGAGUGCUCGAAAGAGAACCGGCGCACAGGUGCUGCAUGGCUGUCGUCAGCUCGUGUCGUGAGAUGUUGGGUUAAGUCCCGCAACGAGCGCAACCCUUGUCCUUAGUUGCUACGCAAGAGCACUCUAAGGAGACUGCCGGUGACAAACCGGAGGAAGGUGGGGAUGACGUCAAGUCCUCAUGGCCCUUAUGGGUAGGGCUUCACACGUCAUACAAUGGUCGGAACAGAGGGUUGCCAACCCGCGAGGGGGAGCUAAUCCCAGAAAACCGAUCGUAGUCCGGAUUGCACUCUGCAACUCGAGUGCAUGAAGCUGGAAUCGCUAGUAAUCGCGGAUCAGCAUGCCGCGGUGAAUACGUUCCCGGGUCUUGUACACACCGC